UACAGAGGUCUCAAGCGUUGUUCGGAUUCAUUGGGCGUAAAGGGUGCGUAGGUGGCAUGGUAAGUCGGAUGUGAAAUCUCGGGGCUCAACCCCGGAACUGCAUUCGAUACUGCUGCGCUAGAGUACUGGAGAGGAGAUUGGAAUUUACGGUGUAGCAGUGAAAUGCGUAGAUAUCGUAAGGAAGACCAGUGGCGAAGGCGGAUCUCUGGACAGUUACUGACACUGAGGCACGAAGGCCAGGGGAGCAAACGGG
rnacentral:rRNA from 1 species